GGAGGAAUAUUGGACAAUGGGCGGAAGCCUGAUCCAGCCAUCCCGCGUGUUUGAUGAAGGCCCUCUGGGUCGUAAAGAACUUUAGACUGGGAAGAAACCACUUGGUGAGCCAGGUGUUGACGGUACCAGUAGAAUAAGCACCGGCUAACUCCGUGCCAGCAGCCGCGGUAAUACGGAGGGUGCAAGCGUUAUCCGGAAUCACUGGGUUUAAAGGGUGCGUAGGCGGCAUAGUAAGUCAGGGGUGAAAGGU
rnacentral:rRNA from 1 species